rnacentral:rRNA from 1 species
CUACGGGCCGCAGCAGUAGGGAAUAUUGCACAAUGGGCGCAAGCCUGAUGCAGCAACGCCGCGUGAGUGAAGAAGGCCUUCGGGUCGUAAAACUCUGUCCUAAGGGAAGAAUAAUGACGGUACCUUAGGAGGAAGCCCCGGCUAACUACGUGCCAGCAGCCGCGGUAAUACGUAGGGGGCAAGCGUUAUCCGGAAUCACUGGGCGUAAAGGGUGCGUAGGCGGCCUGUCAAGUCAGAAGUGAAAGGCUAUGGCUCAACCAUAGUAAGCUUUUGAAACUGAUGGGCUUGAAUACAGGAGAGGUAAGUGGAAUUCCUAGUGUAGCGGUGAAAUGCGUAGAGAUUAGGAGGAACACCAGUGGCGAAGGCGACUUACUGGACUGUUAUUGACGCUGAGGCACGAAAGCGUGGGGAGCGAACAGGAUUAGAUACCUUGGUAGUC